rnacentral:rRNA from 1 species
UACCAGCACCCCGAGUGGUCGGGACGUUUAUUGGGCCUAAAGCAUCCGUAGCCGGUUCUGCAAGUCUUCCGUUAAAUCCACCUGCUUAACAGGUGGGCCGCGGAAGAUACUAUAGAGCUAGGAGGCGGGAGAGGCAAGCGGUACUCGAUGGGUAGGGGUAAAAUCCGUUGAUCCAUUGAAGACCACCAGUGGCGAAGGCGGCUUGCCAGAACGCGCUCGACGGUGAGGGAUGAAAGCUGGGGGAGCAAACCGG